rnacentral:rRNA from 1 species
GAAAGUGGACCAAUCCAUGAGUAAAGUGGCGUACGGGUGAGUAACACGUGAUCAUCUACUUCUGGUGGGGAAUAACCUGGGAAACCGGGGUAAUACCGCAUAAGCCUGGAAAGGGAAAGCAGCAAUGCGCCGAGAGAGGAGUCCCGGGCCGAUUAGCUAGUUGGUAGGGUAAUGGCCUACCAAGGCAAUGAUCGGUAGCCGGCCUGAGAGGGCACACGGCCACACUGGCACUGANACACGGGCCAGACUCCUACGGGAGGCAGCAGUGGGGAAUCUUGCACAAUGGGGGAAACCCUGAUGCAGCGACGCCGCGUGAGCGAUGAAGCCCUUCGGGGUGUAAAGCUCUUUCGGCAGGAACGAUAAUGACGGUACCUGAAGAAGAAGCUGCGGCUAACUACGUG